AGAUGACCUCAGAUUGAGGUCGAAAUAUCGACAAUGAAAAUAUCAAUAGAACGAAGUUUUGCGUUUUAUUUAGGCCCCCAUUAUCAUUUGCGAGUCGCCUUUUGACCCGUAUUACGGUUAGCGAAUGUACUAGUUCGCAUAAAAUAUGAUGUUGCCAGCGCCAAAAACAGAAAGCGACGAAAGUGAAACGUUAAAAAACAACGAAAAUUCAAAGACAAAGUUCAAAUUGAUUGAAUGUAAUAAAAGUAAAAGUAAUUCGAAAUGAUGAGCAGUGUGGACUUAUUUUUUGAGGACGAGUACGAUGUGGAAGAAACCAACUGCAAAGACUGACGCUCAGCAUCCGAGAUAAUUCGAACCCGAUGGAUCUGCCCAAUAGGCUAUUCGUUGCAUACUUCAGGAUCAAUAAGGAAGCUUUUAUAUUCCUGUUGCAAAAAAUGGACGGCUCCCUCUCAAUGCACCGGAGCGCAGCAAUACCACCAAUUUUAAAGCUUGCUUGCGCCCUUCGCUUUUUCGCUGAUGGCUCCUAUCAAAGGGGCUUUCCGAAAUCUCGUAUACCUGGAAUCAUUGGGUGCGUGGAAGGAACGCAUAUUGGUAUUGUUGCACCAAAUCGAUUAAAACAUCAGUAUUAAAAGGAAAGGGGUUUACAGUUUGAAUGCAAUUAAAAAAUUUCCAGUUCUUUUUCCUAUUUGUAUAAUGUAAAUUGUUCAGGCUUGUGAUCACAACAUGGUGAUACACACGAUUCAUUUGUUUCGGGAAACAGUGAACUGAAAGAAAUCUCGCAAAGGAUGUACAGCAAUGGAGAACGAAGUUCUAUGUAUUUAGGGGAUUCUGGGUACCCCUUAAGCCCUUAUUUAAUGACACCAUUUCGUAGUGCAAUCACUGGAAGCAGAGAGUCAACCUUUAACACCCAGCAUGGCAAAGCGAGAAAUAUUGUGGAGAGAACAAUUCGUGUGUUGAAAUGUCGUUUUCGAUGCCUCCUCAGGGAAGGAAAACUGUAUUAUUCUCCACACAAAGCCACACAAAUAGUCAACGCCUGCUGUGCUCUUCACAAUAUUUGUUCGCAUUUUAAUAUUGAAACACCAGAUGCUGUUGAAAAUUACAUCGAUCCAGUUGUUCAAGUGGAACCGGAAAAUACGGACAUUCAUUCCAAUGAAGGGGAUCCGCGAAGGUCCGAAAUGAUGCAUUCAUUAUUUGAUUAGUCCUUAAUUGUAAUUUUUAUUUCCUUCUAUAUUUAAAAGAAAACACUCUUUCCAUUUAAUUUAAAUUCAACUUCGGAUAUGAAAAAAAUAUAUACA